AGUCCAUGCACUGUGAGUAUUGGUUGAAGGAACAGGGCAUAUUUGGUCUGGACUUGUCUAGGGAUAGGAGGACCGCAUUUUAAAAAUCUGCCAUGUAAGAGAGGAAUUAGACUUGUUUUAUUUGGCCCAAGAGAAAUAAAAAACAGCAAGCAAUGAGUGGAAGUUCUAAAGAAGCAAAUUUAGGCUUGAUGUAAGAGAAAAAUUACUAAUAAUUUGAGUUGUCAAGAAGUGGAAUGGGUGGAGUUAAGAAGACCUCCUUGAAGAUCUUCAAGUAGAGGCUGGAUGACCAACUUUUCAGACAUGAAUCUGAAAAGGUGCAGAAGGAAAGGGCAUCUGGCACAGACAUGAUGAAAUAUCAAGCAUUUCAGUUGGUGGGAAAUGAAGAUAUAUCAAAGCCUAAGUGUGGAGGAUCUUGGAAGAGCUCUCUAAUCUCCACUGUCCACCAGCUAUAAUCAGAGGGGCAAGAGAUGCUGAGGAGAAUACUAUAGAUUGAGGAUUUUCUGAGAAGAAAGAAAAAGGAGAUAAAAAGGAAUGUGUAAAAAGAGGAAGAGAGGUUUGAGUAAGGAGAAAAUAGUAAAAGCUUGAUGUCUGAAGCUUUCAGGGACUGAGGAAGAAUCAAGCUUUGGGCCACUUGGCUGAAGAAGUUCAGUUUGAAGAGUUCAAAGCAAGGCCAUCAGAUAUUGUAAGGAGGACACAACAGGCACAUUUUCAUUAAAGCUUAAUUUGGCUGCUUUGCAACAUGUGUGUUCUGCCGAGUUCUCUAUCUUCUCUAAGCAGUGGGGCCAAAGUCAUCGAUCAUCACAGACAGAAGCUUGGAAGUCAACGCUUGCUCUUGCUACCAUGGUAUUGAAGAAUGAGUCAAUUCAGGCUGGGAGACUCCUGGAGCUGCCUAAAGUGUUGGGAACAGAGGAUCAGGGGGAAAGGGUGUCCAGUUCUCGGGUAGUUGCUUUCAGCCUCCCCCCUCACCCAACCCCCACCCCUUUUGCAGGGGUGACACUAAUUCGGGAGAGGCCUUGAAAGCACAGCAAAUGGAGCAGAUGACCCUCUCUAAUUCUCUCCCUGAUCGCCUGCUGAAAGGUGGCAUUUCACAGGGCAGGCAAAUCUGUUACUCCACUUAUACCAGCUCGGAAUCCGGAGACAUUUCUGCCAUUACUCCCAGCCCAAAAUAGCCAUUGGUGAAAUACAACCUGCAUGCUGUUGUCAAAAA